AUUUAAGCACCAAAAUAAAAAAAAUAAAAAAUUUAAUGCAUAUUUUUUUCAAUUUUUUAGGUAAAAAUUAGAGCAAAAAUAGAGCCAAAAUAACUUUAAAAAAUCUUAAAAAUAGCCUCCGAUGCAUGGUGGACAAGUCGGUCGGUCCACGAAAUCAAGGCGUGGUCCACCAAAGAUCUCAUGCGGUCUACAGGCACGGUUCACAGGUGGGCGGAAGCUAUUUCGCAUAAUCAGACGGCCAAAAUGCAACCUGAUCCAGAUCUGAUGGUCAGCUUCUGUUGUCAAAUUAUAAGAGGAGAUUUUGCACGAUCAGAUAGUCGAAAACUCAUCCAUCAAGAGAUCCAACAAUCCAGAUU
rnacentral:lncRNA from 1 species